rnacentral:rRNA from 1 species
ACGGGGUGCAGCAGGCGCGAAACCUUCACAAUGCACGAAAGUGUGAUGAGGUUACCCGGAGUGCUACAAAGUAGCUGUGGUGGGUGAGUAAGAAUCCCCACUAGGAAGGAGAGGGCAAGGCUGGUGCCAGCCGCCGCGGUAAAACCAGCUCUUCAAGUGGUCGGGACUUUUAUUGGGCUUAAAGUGUCCGUAGCCUGUUUAGUAAGUUCCUGGUAAAAUCUGAUAGCUUAACUAUCUGCUUGCUAGGAAUACUACUAUACUAGGGGGCGGGAGAGGUCUGAGGUACUCCAGGGGUAGCGGUGAAAUGCUAUAAUCCUUGGGGGACCACCAGUGGCGAAGGCGUCAGACUGGAACGCGCCCGACGGUGAGGGACGAAAGCCAGGGGAGCGAACCGGAUUAGAUACCCGUGUAGUCC